rnacentral:rRNA from 1 species
AACUUUCAACAACGGAUCUCUUGGUUCUGGCAUCGAUGAAGAACGCAGCGAAAUGCGAUAAGUAAUGUGAAUUGCAGAAUUUAGUGAAUCAUCGAAUCUUUGAACGCACAUUGCGCCCGCCGGUAUUCCGGCGGGGCAUGCCUGUCCGAGCGUCA